CCUACGGGUGGCUGCAGUGGGGAAUAUUGGACAAUGGGCGAAAGCCUGAUCCAGCCAUGCCGCGUGUGUGAAGAAGGCCUUCGGGUUGUAAAGCACUUUCAGUGGGGAAGAAAGCCUUGGGGCUAAUACCCUCGAGGAAGGACAUCACCCACAGAAGAAGCACCGGCUAACUCCGUGCCAGCAGCCGCGGUAAUACGGAGGGUGCGAGCGUUAAUCGGAAUUACUGGGCGUAAAGCGCGCAUAGGCGGUCUGAUAAGCCGGUUGUGAAAGCCCCGGGCUCAACCUGGGAACGGCAUCCGGAACUGUCAGGCUAGAGUGCAGGAGAGGAAGGUAGAAUUCCCGGUGUAGCGGUGAAAUGCGUAGAGAUCGGGAGGAAUACCAGUGGCGAAGGCGGCCUUCUGGACUGACACUGACGCUGAGGUGCGAAAGCGUGGGUAGCAAACAGGAUUAAUACCCGAGUAGUC
rnacentral:rRNA from 1 species